rnacentral:rRNA from 1 species
UACAGAGGGUGCAAGCGUUGUCCGGAUUUAUUGGGCGUAAAGAGCGUGUAGGCGGUUUACAGGUCGCUGUGAAACUCGAGGCUCACCUCGAGCUGUCGGUGGAAACCGUAAGGCUAGAGUCCGGAAGAGGAGAGUGGAAUUCCUGGUGUAGCGGUGAAAUGCGCAGAUAUCAGGAAGAACACCCGUGGCUAAGGCGGCUCUCUAGUACGUGACUGACGCUGAGACGCGAAAGCGUGGGGAGCGAACAGG